GAUGAACGCUAGCGGCAGGCCUAAUACAUGCAAGUCGAACGGCAAGAUUUGGUAGCAAUACUAAAUCCUAGAGUGGCGCACGGGUGAGUAACGCGUACAUGACAUACCUAUAAGCGAGGGAUAGCAUUGGGAAACUGGUAGUAACCCCUCAUGUGAUUAUUUGUAAUAAAGGUAAAUAAUUAAAACUACGGUGCUUAUAGAUUGGUGUGCGUCUGAUUAGCUAGUUGGCGAGGUAACGGCUCACCAAGGCGACGAUCAGUAGGGGGCGUGAGAGCGUGAACCCCCACACGGGUACUGAGACACGGACCCGACUCCUACGGGAGGCAGCAGUAAGGAAUAUUGGUCAAUGGAGGGAACUCUGAACCAGCCAUGCCGCGUGCAGGAUGAAAGCCCUCUGGGUUGUAAACUGCUUUUAACAGGGAAGAAAAUGCUAUAACGUGAUAUAGUACUGACGGUACCUGAGGAAUAAGCACCGGCUAACUCCGUGCCAGCAGCCGCGGUAAU
rnacentral:rRNA from 1 species